AACGAACGCUGGCGGCGUGUUUAAGACAUGCAAGUCGCACGGGAUCAUUUUGGUAGCAAUACUCGGAUGGUCCAGUGGCGCACGGGUGAGUAACACGUGAAUGACAUGCCCUGCAGAGGGGGAUAGCCCAGGGAAACUUGGAUUAAUACCCCAUGGUAUCGCGAGAUUAAAGGGUGGCCGCAAGGCUGCCGCUGCAGGAUUGGCUCGCGUUCUAUCAGCUUGUUGGCGGGGUAACGGCCCACCAAGGCUACGACGGAUACCUGGUCUGAGAGGACGAUCAGGCACACUGGAACUGAGACACGGUCCAGACACCUACGGGUGGCAGCAGUCGAGAAUAAUUCACAAUGGGGGCAACCCUGAUGGUGCAACGCCGCGUGGAGGAUGAAGGUCUUCGGAUUGUAAACUCCUGUCAUCCGGGAGCAAGACCUGACGGUGAAUAGCCGGCAGGGUUGAUAGUACCGGAAGAGGAAGGGACGGCUAACUUCGUGCCAGCCGCCGCCGUAAUAC
rnacentral:rRNA from 1 species